CAGCCAUUGCACUGAUCCCUCAGAGUCCUUUGGAGGCAUCCUGCUGACAGCACAGACACUCCUCCAUCUCACAUCUGAUCCCAGCACUGCUCACAACCAUUUGCAUAUGCUCUUCUCCUGGGUGUGGCAAGGAAUUCAGCUGAACAGCCUUUUCCUGCUUGUGGAAGGUGCUUCAGCUUUCAGAAAGGGUCACUCCUGGAGGCACAAAUUGAAAAGAGAGAAAUAGAUGAAGGCAAUUGUACGCCUGGAAGACAUCCUCCCCUUUGAACACUUCUUGAUAUGCCUCCCAACAGCUUCAUUGCAAGGAUGCUAGUGAAUAUUGCCAGCUUGGCACAUCUUAGGGCCAAGACCCUGCUAUGAACCCAUGAUGUCUUCUCUGUACUUCUGAGUUUUGGGGAAGUGUAGCCUUGCCUCUUUUCUUCCAGUCUUCACAGCUGUCUGUGACACAUGGCUGCCUAAUCUCUUUUGCCACAAUAUCCAGUGUCCACUCUAGCACUGAAUAUGAACCUGAGGGAGAACCAGGGAGCCAGUGCUGGUUGAUGGUUCUUCUCCCCUUUACCUCCUGCUCUGGGAGUGCUUUGAUGGCAAGCAGCUCCCCUGCUUUCCAGCAGAGCUGCCUUCUCUUCUGGAGCUCACACAGCCUGUCCCAAAAGGAAAUUGCUGGGUCUUCCUUUGCUGUGCCAGGACAGACUUAAGUAGUCAACUAGGGAAGGACUGCCGUAAUGGAGACUGUGGAUUUUGUACAGGAGUCAAAGUAAGAGACAGCUGUGCAGCCUGAAAGAUGAUCAGAAGAUAAAAUGACAAAGGCUGAAUUUCUAAAGACAUUAUACUGCCAAUUAAAAGUCUGAAAUCUUCCUGGCUUGCUCUGCCCCAGAAAUUCAGAUCAAAUCAUUCACUGAGCUGUUCCCACAAAAGGAACUGGAAAUUCAAUAGGUCAGAUUGUCAGCUAGAAUAAGUCCACUGACUCCAGGGGAACUACUCCACUUUCUGUCAUCAGAGAACCUGGCCCCAUGACCAUGAGCUUCAGAUUUUCCACAUGGCUGUUUCCUUGGGACUUACAUCAUCACCCUGCACAACAAGGAGAGGUCAAGGUCACAGUGAAGAAGGAUUUUUAAGGAAGCAAAACAAGAGACUCAAUAAAAGCUCAAGUUCAUGCUGUGCCUCCAUAAUACCACCUGGUUUAGUAGACCUGUGGAUCAGUAUUUUCCUCAGGUUCCAUGUGAGUGGUGCCGUAUGUCAGUCCUGAGUCCUUUGACUCAGGACCAUAAAUGGUGGAGGACAAAGACCCACAGGGCAGCUGUGCUAUGACUUUGCUUCUUGCCAGUGCCAUCCCAUCUAUGAUACAAUACUUGUGGCAUCAGGGUACAGAUAAGGAAUGCCUUCAAAGUGUUUGUUUCCCUUACUCUUGUCUCCUAACCUGCUGUUCACUAAUACAGAAUGGAGUAUCUUUUAUCUCAGUCUUACAGUAAGAACCCAAAUCAUAAAAUAACAUGUAGGAUUUCUAGGAUGAGCAAUGCCAAUGAAAACAAGCUUCAAAAAUUCUGCCUGAAAUUUCCAAAGCAUGACAUUCGCCCCCAGGCAGAAAGCCUGCAGACAGUUCUGUGUAUCAAUUAUGAGGUGCUAAGUCACUUCUUCAGCCUCACAUGGGCUGCUCCAUCAGUGAGACUCAGCUAAAAAUCAGUUAGGAAGAACUCAGUGCUGCUAUGAAGAAGAAUGAUCAUUACCUAACACACCUUUCCUUGCAAAGGCAUGAGUUCAGUAAUUUACAGGUUCUUUCCCAUUUCUGUCUACUGUGAUCUUACAUGCUGUAUAUCAUCUUAACAAAAUAAGAGCUUUGGUGUUAUCCCUUCCUGUCCUCUGCUGUCACCCCAAACCUUUUAUGUGAGGACUGAAAAUCUAAACUGCUUGUUUCAAAAUUGUCAGAACAGCAGGGGUAAAAACUCUUUAAAAUGAGAUACUAAUUAUUAAUGUGAAUGCUUUUCACAUCCAUCUCCUACUCAAUGGAAUGAUUCAGUUGAACAUUGCUCAGUGAGAAGAUCCAUUUCUCAUACUUCUUUAAUUUUUUAUCAGUUUGUAAAGUUUCCCAAGACCUAGAUAGCAAUAAGACAGCAAAGAAAUUGCCCAAGGCAUCCUCUUAAAGAAGCAGUAUGGGCUGGGUUCUGUUCUGCCACAGAUUAGUCUAAAUUGGUAGUUAUUCCAUGAUGUCAGUGAAACUGAACUGCUGAAAUGCAGAGGCGAAUCUGGCCCCAUGAUCUAAUUCCAUGAUGAAAUUGCUAGUGUAAAUAAAUGACUGCUGCUGUUCAGUGCUUCCCCCCUCACUCCCCAAAGUGCCCUAAUGAAUAAUGAGUUUUAUGAAUAAGCUUUAAUGAAUGACUGAACACAUUUUAACCGUAAGUUAGAACACUUUCCUUCGCACUUUCCUCCGCUGCCUUCCUUUGCUUCCUUGAACCAAAGAAUUGCCCUCUUAAACUACCUGUCAAUCACACAUACAAUUACCACAUCCCAAAAGGUGUUAUCAAACAGCAAAACUGUCCAGUUUUUAAUUCCAGGAAAAACAUUUCCAUAUUUGUUUUAAACACCUAACUCAGGUUUCAAAAUACAAGUGCUGGAACAGAGCAAACCUCUAAGCAUUUAUUCCUUCCUUCCCUCCGCCCCCCCAAGAUUAAAAUCCAUUCAUUUCAAUCAAGUCAUUCAGAGGAAGGCUGUAAAAUGAAUGACAUAAUUAGCCACUUAAUAUGCUGCAUAUGGAAUUUUAAUUUCAGAUGAAAAUCAGAGAGGCUUUUCAAAAGCUCUUCACUGAGAGAAAAAAUAGUGGUAUGUGAAGACAGCUAAUGCUUUACAGUUCGGUGCUACUUUUUUGUCUGAGUUCCCUAAUACUCUCAGCAUUACUUAAUAAAUUAACCGAAUUUACUGAAAUUUACUCAGGUUUACUGAAUAAACCUUCUUUAGUUCCAUCAGAAGGGGCAAAUAUGCCUUUACAGAGUGAAGAAAUCAGGAAGACAGUGAGACUAAGGACCUAGUUUUGCCAGGUUACAACGCAAUUACAAAAGAAUGAAGUGACUGCUUCCUCUGACUGAAUCCUGUGGGAACCAGUUUGGGGACAAUUUACUGAAACGUCUUCCAAGAGGCUGAAGCACAAAAUUCAAAAAUUAAGGCACCUCCAAAUGGGUCUGUACUUCUGAAAACACUCACUCUCGUACUCCCAAAGUCAUAUGAAUAAUAUGUAUCUGAUCCAGAAACAGUUUUAACCAAACUUCUGCUGACCAACACAGUGGGAUUUUAUGACUACAGCCUAAAUAUGAAUCAAGAUUAAUCAAAAUAAAUCAAUAUUAAGAAAAAUUAAAAAAAAAAAACAAACAAACAAACCAAAACCAAAACAACCACCCAACAGGAGAGCUAGAAGGCAAUUGGACAGUUCACUAUCAGAUGAACUUCACUGUCUCUGUAACCAGUCCAUCCUGUUCAAUUCUGUUGGCCACUCAUUUCUGUCCUGCUUGUAUUGACAUAUUCUGCAGGCUUUUAACCACGUUACUGAGUCAGGCAACACCAGAAGAUGACCCAUUAGCUUACUAGAUUAAACAAGAAACACUAAACAGGAGAUCAUAGUCAAAGAGGAGGGAAUGGGAACAAGUCAACAUUACUCAAGGGUUAGAAAGAUGUUCCAAAAUGUAAUCUGUGUUCAUUGCCUUGAGUAAAUAUACAGUCAACCUCCAUUUGCACAAGCCUUGAUCACAUGAAGUAAUAAUUUCAGGGAGAAAAAAACCACAUUCCACCAGUGUGGAAUUUGUGCAAUGAAAUACUCUUCCCCACAUGUGCUCCUCCCAGACUUUGGGAGCAAUUUCAUUUACCUGCAUUACUUUCACUGCUCACUGAUGACUUUCAGAUCCAUCUGCCCAUACCACAGGGAAUGCAGUGAGAAGUGCAAUGGUUCUGCUGUGGAAAAAAAAGUCCCAAGAAAAUUCUGGAGACAGAAGGAAAGGUUAGAAAACUUGUGAUUAAAUAUUGAAAUCCUCUGGCAUUGAUCUACAUCCCAGAUUACCUCAAUUGUACUAGCUUCUUUAUUUUUUUGUUUUGUUUUGUUUGGUUCUUUUUGUGAAAGUCAAAACAACUGUAUUAAAAAUAUGCUUAUCAGUA